rnacentral:tRNA from 1 species
GGGGAUAUAACUCAGUUGGUAGAGUGCUUGCCUUGCAUGCAUAAGGUCUUGGGUUCAAUCCCCGACACCCCCC